AUGUUAGAGAAUAUGCUAUUAGAGGUCUGCAACGAGGUAUUACUGAAAGCUAAAAUUCCAGAAUCAUGGAAGGAAGCUUAUAUAACAUUGAUUCCGAAAGAGGGGGUAUAUCUUAAUUAGGUUAAAA